ACAGACCAAACUGAAACAGAACAGUGAGAACUGCUGAAAGCUUUUAAAAAAGCGAUGUCGGAGAGGAAACCUCGUGUUGUUGUUGUCGGCGGUGGACUGGUUGGUGCUUUGAAUACGUGUUUUCUGGCCAAAAGGGGCUUUAUUGUAGAUCUAUAUGAGAAAAGAAGUGAUAUAAGAAAAGCAGAGCAUGUUAAGGGGCGGAGCAUCAAUCUGGCCCUCUCCACGCGAGGUCGCACUGCAUUGCGUAUGGUAGGCUUGGAGGAUACCGUGCUGGAGAAUGGCAUUCGUAUGCAUGCCCGGAUGAUACAUGACCCGGAUGGAUCAAGACGGCCUAUCUUGUAUGGAAAGGAAGAUCAGUACAUCAUGUCCGUAGAUAGGAGAAGAUUAAAUGAAGUACUUCUGACAGCUGCUGAAAAGAACCCAAAUGUGACCUGUCAUUUUGAACAUAAACUGGUUAGCUGUGAUUUUAAAACGGGAGAAGCGGAGUUCAUUAACAAUGAAGGAAAGAGGAUCAAAAAGACAGUAGACCUAAUUGUGGGUAAUGAUGGAGCUUUCUCAGGUGUGCGUAAAGAGAUGAUGAAAGCCACACUGCUGGAUUACCAGCAACAGUACAUUCCCCAUGGAUACAUGGAAUUGACAAUCCCUCCAUCUCCCAAAGAUGAAUAUCUGAUGGAAACAAACUAUCUCCACAUAUGGCCCAGGAAUGAAUUCAUGAUGAUCGCCUUACCCAAUCUGGACAAAUCCUUCACAUGCACUCUCUUCAUGCCUUUUGAAAUUUUCAACAGUAUUAAGACAGAGGAGGAUCUUAUGAACUUCUUCAGAGACAAAUUUCCUGAUUCUAUUCCACUGAUGGGAGAAGAAACCCUGAAACAAAUAUUCAUGUCCAGUAAAGCUUUACCCAUGGUAUCCAUAAAGUGCUCACCCUACCAUGUUGAAGACAAAGGACUGAUAAUGGGAGAUGCAGCACAUGCCAUGGUACCAUUCUACGGCCAGGGAAUGAAUGCUGGAUUUGAAGACUGUAUUGCUUUGGAUGAAAUGCUGGACCUAUAUAAGAAUGAUUUCUCCAAGGCUUUGCCGGCCUACUCCGAGACUAGGACAGUGGACGCUCAUGCUAUCUGUGAUCUGGCCAUGUACAACUAUGUGGAGAUGAGGAAGUCUGUCAAUUCCAAACUCUUCUUGAUGAGAAAAAAGUUGGAUAAUUUAUUGUUUACCAUCUUUCCAAAUUCCUGGAUACCCUUAUACACAAUGGUUGCCUUCACCAGGACAAGAUAUCAUUUGUGUAUUGCACGGAGAAAACAUCAAGAUGAGAAUGUGAUUUUAGAUACUGACAAAAGUUCUUAGUGGCGGUAUGAUGGUGUUGUUGGGUGUGUGUGCAUUAUCUGGCCUGAGGAUCUGUAACCAAAGAGGAAUAACAUUCCAAACUCUGACAGACAAAGCAAUGGAACUGUGGGAGUCCUUCCCACCUGUGAACCGUUAACACAAUGAAAGCUUCAUAUUGUUAAAACAGAAAGGAGGAAGAUCUGAACGUUAAUUGUUAAUGUUUUAAAACAAAUUUUAUUUGCUUAUUGUCAUGUGUUUAGUGCUUUUAUUGAUUGAGGACAGUUUCACCAAAGAAUAAAUCAGAUAUGUGAAUCCCUUAUUAAUCAGCUAUCAGUAUAGUAAUUUGUGUUUGUUUAGUAUAUACUGUUACCCCAUGUUAGAAGUUUAUUUUUAGAAGAAUUUUUCAAAAAUGCUUCAUUGUAUGUCAGUUUGUUGUAGACAUGUAAUGUUUUAAAAGUUUUAGUACAUGUAAACUUGUAUUUCUGUAUAUGACUUCCUUGUACAUUAAAUACAUGUAUUUGAUAACAUUUACUUUUGGAUUGCUUAGGAUUUUGGAAGUCUAUGCAUUAUGAUGAUUUGAAAAUAUAGCGCAUUUUUGAUAUCUUAUAAAUGAAUAUAUAUAUUAAAUACAUGUUCCUC
rnacentral:misc_RNA from 1 species